rnacentral:rRNA from 1 species
CUCAACCAUUAGCGGGUCCCCGUGAAUCACGUUGGACCCACUCUCUUCAAAGUACACAAGAAAAAUAAUCGAAUCUAAAGUAGUGCCGGUGACGGCGUGCUUUUUGCAGCACGAUCCAACGAGUUUGUUCUAUGCGGUUGUCUAAGGGAUGAAGAGUUCCGGAGACACAGUGAAAGCGAGGCUGAAUAGGCCGCCAUAUAAUCGCAUGGACAAGACCCGAAGCCAGACGAGCUACACUUGAGCAGGGUGAAGCGUGGGUAACACCACGUGGAGGCCCGCACCCACUAGCUGUGCAACUCUAGGGGAUGACUUGUGUGUAGGGGAGAAAUUCCAAUCGAGUUUGGCAAUAGCUGGUUCUCUCCGAAAUAGCUUGAGGGCUAGCGUCUUACGUAAUUGUAUCCAAGGGGUAGAGCUACUGGAUGAGACUCCGCGCGCAAGCGUAGGUUUCUCAACCAAACUCCGAAUACUUGUGAUACCUAGUAAGGCAGUCAGUACUACGGGGCUAAGCUCGUAGCACAAAAGGGAAACAGCCCAGAUCGUCAGCUAAGGUCCCUAAAUCCAUGUUCAGUGGGAAAGGAAGUGGAAACUCUUAGACACUGAGGAGGUUGGCUUAGAAGCAGCCACCCUUUAAAGAGUGCGUAAUAGCUCACUCAUCUAGAGUUUCUGCGCCGACAAUGUAACGGGGCUAAACAUGGUACCGAAGCUACGGAUUUGUUCAUUGUUUACAAUGAGCAAGUGGUAGGAGAGCGUCCCAUACACGCCGAAGCGAGACAGGCGACUGCUCGUGGAGAGUAUGGAAGUGAGAAUGUUGGAAUGAGUAACCGCAAUGGGGGUGAGAUCCCCCCACAUCGAAAGUCCGAGGUUUCCUGGGCCAUGUUGAUCAUCCCAGGGUUAGUCGGGCCUAAGGCGAGGCCGAAAGGCGUAGUCGAUGGACAUCAGGUUAAUAUUCCUGAACUUGAUACGUAUUCGAAGGAGUGACGCAUUGUUGUACUCUUCGCCCCUUAUUGGAUUGGGGUUGGGGACAUGAGGGUGCUAGAUAGGCAAAUCCGUCUAGCAUAAGCCCAAGUGUUCACACGCGGCUGGUAGCAAUACCGGCGAAGGAAGAGGAGCACGGUGCCAGGAAAAGCUUCUAAGGUGUAUACGUAUCAAUCCGUACCGCAAACCGACACAGGUGGACAGGGCGAGUAGCCUAAGAUGAACGGGAGAGCAUUCGUUAAGGAACUAGGCAAAAAAGCUAGACGUAAGUUCGCGAUAUGUCUUUCCGGCUCUCCAUUGAGUUCUUCAGAUGAAGAUCUGAUCAAUCGGGUGACCUUGGUGAAGUUUUUGUGAGUUGUUAAAGGGGGCGCGUGCAGGAUGGUCCUUUCGGGGACAAUGCCAGCUCGAUCGUUGAUCAAAAGCGGUGCGUGCACCGUGAUUUGGCGCCUGUGUACCACACAACCUUUAUUCACGUAUCGAUAGCAGCUGCGAGCGAAAUCGAGAACCCCUUAGCCGUCGAAAGAUGGUUUACUGCCAGCGACAAGCUGGAGGUGGGUGGGGAACGUGAAGAUGUUCAGUGAAGCCUCGGAAAUGAGAUCGGGCAUCGGGCCCAACGAGGCAACCUGAGCACAACACAUUCGCCCUGAAAAGGCGGCACAAAAAUGGAUUCUUGGUCACCCGACCAAUUCUUUUCUUCUUCUCAAUGUAAAUCUGAAGAAUUAAAUGGAGAGUCGGACGCAGCGAAAGUUUUUCAAGCGACUGUUUACCAAAAACACAACUCUCUGCAAACCGGCAACGGGAAGUAUAGGGGGUGACACCUGACCAGUGCUGGAACGUUAACGGGAGCGGUUCACGCCAAUCCCCGAAGCGCCAGUGAACGUCGGCGAUAACUAUAAUCGUCCUAAGGUAGCGAAAUUCCUUGUCGGGUAAGUUCCGACCCGCAUGAAAGGUGUAACGACUUGGAAACUGUCUCAACGAACAUCCCGGUGAAAUUGCAAUGACGGUAAAGAUGCCGUCGACCUGCAGCAAGACGAAAAGACCCCAUGGAGCUUUACUAUAACUUGGUAUUGACUGUAGAUUUUUGCUGCCGAGCAUAGGUGGGAGACUUUGAAGCGCGGGCUCAGGCCUGCGUGGAGUCAACACUGGAAUACCACCCUGUACGAAUCUACAUUCUCACCUGCCGCCGUUAUCCGGCGGGGGGACAGUGCCUGGCGGGUAGUUUGACUGGGGCGGUCGCCUCCUAAAAAGCAACGGAGGCGUUUACAAAGGUUCUCUAGGUCCGGAUGGAAAUCGGACCGAUAGCGCAAACGCACAAGAGAGCUUUACUGAGAGACCGAUCCGUUAAUCAGUUACGAAAGUAGAAGUUAGUGAACCGACCAUCACUCGUAGGAGUGUGGAAGAUCAUCAGAUAAAAGUUACCCUGGGGAUAACAGGCUGAUCUUGCCCAAGAGUCCAUAUCGACGGCAAGGUUUGGCACCUCGAUGUCGGCUCAUCGCAUCCUGGGG